GCUUAGAAUGGUCUGGCCUCACCUCAGAGAGUCACAGAAAUAGACAAAAACCCAAAAAGUACUAGUAAAGUAAAUACAAGGAACAAAAUAAACAUUAAUAAAAAUGAAUGACGCAAAGGUGAUCCAGAAUCAUUACUUGCUCCAACAGCUAGAUCAAAGGCUGAACAUUUUGCUUUAGUAUAGAUGAGGGAAAUGAGCAAGUCCUAAAAGGUUUGCCCUGUUACGGUGUUUCAUCACUCAUACUGGAAGGAGAAGGAAAGGAGCCAUAUGACUCAUUUAAAAGAAAAACUGUUCACACACAGCAGCCUGGUUUCCUGGAAGGGCAUUUUCCACAUUGUGCGUUAUGGAUGAUCAUCCCAGGCAUCAGGUGUGAAGCCCUGCAUCCACAUCCAGGGGCUAUCAAAUCUCUCUGCAAAAGGAGAAGCUGGACUCAGGGUAUGCACAGAUGUGGAAACAGGAACUGAUGUGUCCAUUACACCACUAGGACAGAGGCCAGAACAAUGAAGAAACCAAAUACUUGGAAGAGGGUAGAGAUAAUGAAUGGAGUCCAAGAGCCCUGAUUGUGCCAUAAAUGUCCAGAUAAUUCCAUACCUGAGGAUUAUGUGGUUUGUAAACUUGGCACUUAGAAGAACCAAUAAAAUCAUGUUAUAGUUUCAA
rnacentral:lncRNA from 1 species